CCUCGUCAGUAAGACUUGUCCAAGCCCUGAUGUAUGUGAAACUCAUCAGGAGGGAAUGCUGGCAAGAAUCAGCUAACACAGUAGCAGCAAGCUUUCAGUGACAGCGUUAAGGAAGGGUGACGAUUCAGGCUGGGAGCAGGAAAGCAGUGCGGAGGGAACGUGUGUGGUGAGAUGCUGAGGAGAGAUUGCCUUCCUUGCCCCAGCAGGCUGCUUGUGUCCUGGUGAUGCACGGUGACGAGAAGGCUGCUGUUCUGAACAGCACAAGGCAACAGAGACGUUGACAGCAGCGAUGGAGAUGGAGAUGUUCAGAGUGGAGGAGCUGUUGGCUCGCUGCAGCCACCCCAGCAUCCCCGGAGCUCCCUGCUGGCCCCGGAGGAGUCCGAGUGCUCUGUGCUGGAAGAAGAGGAGUCGAGGCUGCUGGAGACAUCAGGGCUCAGUGGCUCUGUGGCAGUGAUGCGCUGC
rnacentral:lncRNA from 1 species